rnacentral:snoRNA from 16 species
GGCAGUUAUGUGUACUCAUUUUGAUCUCUGUGAUUUAUGAGAUUACGGAAAUUGCCAACAAUAAAUUAGAUUAUAUAAAGAAAUGUCUUAUCUUAGUUCAUCUAAUUAGGGCUCUUUGUAUACUCACAUCA